rnacentral:rRNA from 1 species
AUUGAACGCUGGCGGCAGGCCUAACACAUGCAAGUCGAGCGGAGCGGCGGCAGGGUGAGUAAUGCCUAGGCAUCUGCCUGGUAGUGGGGGAUAACGACCGGACGCGGGCGCUAAUACCGCAUACUAUCAGAUGAGCCUAGGUCGGCUUGGCUCGUUGGUGGGGUAAAGGCCGACCAAGGCGACGAUCCGUAACUGGUCUGAGAGGAUGAUCAGUCACACUGGAACUGAGACACGGUCCAGACUCCGACGGGAGGCAGCAGUGGGGAAUAUUGGACAAUGGGCGAAAGCCUGAUCCAGCCAUGCCGCGUGUGUGAAGAAGGUCUUCGGAUUGUAAAGCACUUUAAGUUGGGAGGCGUUACCAACAGAAUAAGCACCGGCUAACUUCGUGCCAGCAGCCGCGGUAAUUC